UGGGGAAUAUUGCACAAUGGGCGCAAGCCUGAUGCAGCCAUGCCGCGUGUGUGAAGAAGGCCUUCGGGUUGUAAAGCACUUUCAGCGAGGAGGAAGGUGGUGAACUUAAUACGUUCAUCAAUUGACGUUACUCGCAGAAGAAGCACCGGCUAACUCCGUGCCAGCAGCCGCGGUAAUACGGAGGGUGCAAGCGUUAAUCGGAAUUACUGGGCGUAAAGCGCACGCAGGCGGUUUGUUAAGUCAGAUGUGAAAUCCCCCGGGCUCAACCUGGGAACUGCAUUUGAAACGUGGCAAGCUAGAGUCUCGUAAGAGGGGGGUAGAAUUCCAGGUGUAGCGGUGAAAUGCGUAGAGAUCUGGAGGAAUACCGGUGGCGAAGGCGGCCCCCUGGACGAAGACUGACGCUCAGGUGCGAAAGCGUGGGGCAGCAAACAGGAUUAGAUACCCUGGUAGUGCCACGCUGCUAAACGAUGUCGAUUUGGAGGUUGUGCCCUUGAGGCGUGGCUUCCGGAGCUAACGC
rnacentral:rRNA from 1 species